AUCCAGCUUAGAGGUCCCGCCUGCCCUGUGACCAAGUGUUUAACGGCCGCGGUAUUUUAACCGUGCAAAGGUAGCGCAAUCACUUGUCUUUUAAAUAGAGACCUGUAUGAAUGGCAUAACGAGGGCUCAACUGUCUCCUUUCCCCAGUCAAUGAAAUUUAUCCCCCCGUGCAGAAGCGGGGAUAUGACCGCAAGACGAGAAGACCCUGUGGAGCUUUAAAUUAAUGCCUGACCUAACAAAAUAAGCCUUCAUUAAGAGAAUAAACCUCGUUAGAUUCAGCUAAAUAUUUUUGGUUGGGGCGACCGCGGAGUAAAAUAUAACCCCCGUGAAGAAUGGAUUUAUUAAUUCAUAACCAAGAACCGCAGUUCUAAGUAUUAAAACUUUUGACUUUUCAGAUCCGGUAACACCGAUCAACGAACCGAGUUACCCCAGGGAUAACAGCGCAAUCCUCUUCAAGAGUCCCUAUCGACGAGAGGGUUUACGACCUCGAUGUUGGAUCAGGACAUCCUAAUGGUGCAGCCGCUAUUAAGGGUUCGUUUGUUCAACGAUUAAAGUCCU
rnacentral:rRNA from 1 species